rnacentral:lncRNA from 1 species
UCGGGUAGGGGUAAGGCUUGUCUACAUAUUACCCUCCCCAUACCCCACUUUGUUGGACUAUACUGGGUAGUUGUUGUUGUUGUUGUUGUAAGUGUGGAUAUAUCUGAAACCUAAAGAAAAUACUAGCCAUUCUAAAUGACAAUCUACUGCAGAUCAGUGUUGUCAAAGGCGCGCUUAAGCCCUGAAGCGAGGCUCAAAACAUGUUAAGGGUUUCGCCUCACUUAGCGGGCGCUUCAGUGUCGUCAUCAAGACUCUAAGGCAUACUUUUCCUUGCAAUUGAGUGUACCUGAAGAGUGAACAAUUGGUAUUUUACUUUAUCGUAAAUUUUUUUCAAUUUCUUUGUCCAUAUAUUUGUUAUUCACUUACAAUUAUUGGUCUUGGACUACACAUACAUAUUUGUUUUUUCUCCAUUUGCGCCGUUCUUCAUUAAACUUCACGCUUUAUUUGCUCUUUGCGCUUAAAGCCCCAACGGACUUUAGAGCCUUUUUGUGCUUUUCGCCUUAGAUAUCAUUGCUGCAGAUGCCCAGAUUUGUCUGCUUGAAAAUGGCUCCAACUCGCAGUACAAUUUGGGUUAGUCAAGUUUCUAUGUGCACAACAAAGGAUGGCGGGAAGGAAAAACCUUAAUCCAUUCUUAAAUGUUUAUUUCUCCAUCUAGAAGGAGAUUGUCGAGGUACUAGUCCUCUAUAAUGAAAUUUCCCCAAAGCCCUUGCAAUAUGGUUUCAUUAGAUAAGGUGGGCUUGGUUCUCACGACUCACGAGUAACCUAGAGAAUCGGCAAGUAAGACUUUGA